GACGAACGCUGGCGGCGUGCUUAACACAUGCAAGUCGAACGGAAAGGCCCUGCUUUUGUGGGGUGCUCGAGUGGCGAACGGGUGAGUAACACGUGAGUAACCUGCCCUUGACUUUGGGAUAACUUCAGGAAACUGGGGCUAAUACCGGAUAGGAGCUCCUGCUGCAUGGUGGGGGUUGGAAAGUUUCGGCGGUUGGGGAUGGACUCGCGGCUUAUCAGCUUGUUGGUGGGGUAGUGGCUUACCAAGGCUUUGACGGGUAGCCGGCCUGAGAGGGUGACCGGGGACAAGGGGACAGAGAUACAGGCCAGACGCCUCCGGGAGGCAGCAGUGGGGAGUAUGGCACAAUGGGCGGAAGCCUGAUGCAGAGACGCCGCGUGGGGGAGGAGGGCCGUCUGGGUUUAAACAGCUUUCGCCGGAGACGAAGCGAGAGUGACGGUAAUGGGUGAAGAAGCAACGGCUAACUACGUG
rnacentral:rRNA from 1 species